rfam:Bombyx mori DNA, contig: Bm_scaf5_contig4585, strain: p50T/Dazao, build 2, whole genome shotgun sequence.
UUAACUUAAAUUUGUAUGGAGUUGGAAUAUUUGCCUACGUUUGCUACCAGGGGCGCUGUUUCAACUGCACACAAAAUUGAGUUA